rnacentral:tRNA from 1 species
UAGGCAGAUGUCCGCUGGUUGGGGCGCUUAGCUGUUAACUAAGAGUUUGUGGGAUCGAGGCCCUCCUGCCUAG